rnacentral:tRNA from 1 species
GCCAGGAUGGUGGAAUAGGUAGACACGCCGGACUUAAAAUCCUGUAACCAUUGAGGUUGUACGGGUUCGACUCCCGUUCCUGGUA